UACAUAGGGGGCAAGCGUUGUUCGGAAUUACUGGGCGUAAAGCGUGCGCAGGCGGUUGUGCAAGACCGAUGUGAAAUCCCCGGGCUUAACCUGGGAAUGGCAUUGGUGACUGCACGGCUAGAGUGUGUCAGAGGGGGGUAGAAUUCCACGUGUAGCAGUGAAAUGCGUAGAGAUGUGGAGGAAUACCGAUGGCGAAGGCAGCCCCCUGGGAUAACACUGACGCUCAUGCACGAAAGCGUGGGGAGCAAACAGG
rnacentral:rRNA from 1 species